GAGAUUAACCUAAUCGGAUUACUGGGCGUAAGCGCGCGUAGGUGGCUUGAUAAGCCGGUUGUGAAAGCCCCGGGCUCAACCUGGGAACGGCAUCCGGAACUGUCAAGCUAGAGUGCAGGAGAGGAAGGUAGAAUUCCCGGUGUAGCGGUGAAAUGCGUAGAGAUCGGGAGGAAUACCAGUGGCGAAGGCGGCCUUCUGGACUGACACUGACACUGAGGUGCGAAAGCGUGGGUAGCAAACAGGAUUAGAUACCCUGGUAGUCCACGCCGUAAACGAUGUCGACCAGCCGUUGGGUGCCUAGCGCACUUUGUGGCGAAGUUAACGCGAUAAGUCGACCGCCUGGGGAGUACGGCCGCAAGGUUAAAACUCAAAUGAAUUGACGGGGGCCCGCACAAGCGGUGGAGCAUGUGGUUUAAUUCGAUGCAACGCGAAGAACCUUACCUACUCUUGACAUCCUGCGAAUUCGGUAGAGAUACCUUAGUGCCUUCGGGAACGCAGAGACAGGUGCUGCAUGGCUGUC
rnacentral:rRNA from 2 species